GCUUUAAUACAUGCAAGUCGAACGAAAUAUUUAGCACUUGUGUUAAAUAAUUUAGUGGCGAACGGGUGAGUAACACGUAAGAACUUACCCCUAGACGAGGUACAACAGUUGGAAACGACUGCUAAUACCUCAUAUUACCGGAAGGUGAAAGAAGCAAUUCGUCUAGGGCGAGGCUUGCGUCUGAUUAGCUUGUUGGUGAGGUAAAGGCUUACCAAGGCGACGAUCAGUAGUUGGUCUUAGAGGAUGAUCAGCCACAUUGGGACUGAGACACGGCCCAAACUUUUACGGGAGGCAGCAGUAAGGAAUUUUCCGCAAUGGGCGCAAGCCUGACGGAGCAAUACCGCGUGAAGGAUGACGGCCCAUGGGUUGUAAACUUCUUUUCUUGGAGAAGAAUUCUGACGGUAUCCAAGGAAUAAGCAUCGGCUAACUCCGUGCCAGCAGCCGCGGUAAGACGGGGGAUGCAAGCGUUAUUCGGAAUUAUUGGGCGUAAAGCGUCUGUAGGUGGUAAGGAAAGUGUAAUGUUAAAGAUCAGGGCUCAACCCUGGGAAAGCAUUGCAAACUAUCUUACUUGAGUUCGGUAGGAGCAGAGAGAAUUCCCAGUGUAGCGGUGAAAUGCGUAGAUAUUGGGAGGAAGACCGGUGGCGAAGGCGUUCUGCUGGGCCGUAACUGACACUCAGAGACGAAAGCUAAGGUAGCAAAUAGGAUUAGAUACCCUAGUAGUCUUAGCUGUAAACGAUGCACACUAUGUUUUGCAAUUUGCAGAGCAAUAGCUAACGCGUUAAGUGUGCCGCCUGGGGAGUACAUUCGCAAGGAUGAAACUCAAAGGAAUUGACGGGGACCCGCACAAGCGGUGGAGCAUGUGUUUAAUUCGAUGCAACGCGAAGAACCUUACCAAGAAUUGACAUGCUGCGAACGUUUACGAAAGUAAAAGUCUAUUACUUAGUAUAGCGCAGACUCAGGUGGUGCAUGCUGUCGUCAGCUCGUGCCGUGAGUGUUAGGAUAGUCCUGCAACGAGCCGCAACCC
rnacentral:rRNA from 1 species